CUGAAGUAAUAACAUAUGACGUCUUACUGUUGUACAUAUUAAUUAUUGUCAGUAAUUAAUAAAUUACAUUAAUUAGCGAUCGUUUAAUUUUCGAAGGCAUUCUAUACGAAAUACUUUUUACUUAUAUAACUAAAUCAGAUGUUUUAUUUUUUCGUACCUAUUGAAAUAUAUAACACUUUUUUGAAUGCAUAUA